GGCUGCCGGAGAAGCUGCUCCGGCUGCGCGGCGAGCCUGGGCUGCGCUCGGUAGCGGGAUGUAAGAAAGGAGAAGAGAGGGGGAUCUAGACCGCGCGCCUCCUUCUGGUGGAAAUUGACAAGGAAUGUGCCGGAAAAGGUUGGGCUUGACUGAAACACCUUAUCUGAAGACAGUUCUGUUCCAAAUGGAUGUUACGUUCUUCCCAAGACCAGUGGAAUAGCCCCCGAGGCAGUAGAAGCACAAGAGCAAGCAAGCCUAAUCCAUGCCUUUCAAGAUACUGCGUCCAUCACAUCUGUCACCAUGCUGUCAGCCAAGGCACAUCACAUGCUAAAGCUGAUGUACCACAAUUUAUUUCAACAACCUCCCAUUAAGAGAUUAUUAGCUUUUCACUAUUACAAGCAAUGCAGCCAUGUCAUCUUUUGUAUAUACUAGUAUCUCUUUGAAUAAAUGCUGAGAAGUGAACUUCGAAAUUAAAA